GCGGGCCGUGGAGCAGGACGUGCUCGAGCGGUUCGCCGCGCUGUUUGGCGGCCCGGAUGGCGAUGGACAAGCGUUCGAGCAGGUCGGUCUGCCC
rnacentral:tRNA from 1 species